GCCUCUGUGGAUCAGUGGUUAAAUCGCGUCGACUAUGUAGCUCCGAUGUCGAUGAAGUGUGGGUUCGAAUCCCACCAGAGGUA